rnacentral:rRNA from 1 species
UUGCCCUAGUAACGGCGAGUGAAGCGGCAACAGCUCAAAUUUGAAAUCUGGCUCUUUCAGGGUCCGAGUUGUAAUUUGCAGAGGGCGCUUUGGCGUUGGCAGCGGUCCAAGUUCCUUGGAACAGGACGUCACAGAGGGUGAGAAUCCCGUACGUGGUCGCUGGCCUCCGCCGUGUAAAGCCCCUUCGACGAGUCGAGUUGUUUGGGAAUGCAGCUCUAAAUGGGAGGUAAAUUUCUUCUAAAGCUAAAUACUGGCCAGAGACCGAUAGCGCACAAGUAGAGUGAUCGAAAGAUGAAAAGCACUUUGGAAAGAGAGUCAAAUAGCACGUGAAAUUGUUGAAAGGGAAGCGCUUGCAGCCAGACUUGCCUGUAGUUGCUCAUCUGGGCUCUUGCCCGGUGCACUCUUCUGCGGGCAGGCCAGCAUCAGUUUGGGCGGUUGGAUAAAGGUCUCUGUCAUGUACCUCUCUUCGGGGAGGCCUUAUAGGGGAGACGACAUGCAACCAGCCUGGACUGAGGUCCGCGCAUUUUGCUAGGAUGCUGGCGUAAUGGCUGUAAGCGGCCCGUCUUGAAACACGGACCAAGGAGUCUAACAUCUAUGCGAGUGUUUGGGUGUCAAGCCCGAACGCGUAAUGAAAGUGAACGGAGGUGGGAACCCGUAUGGGUGCACCAUCGACCGAUCCUGAUGUCUUCGGAAGGAUUUGAGUAAGAGCAUGGCUGUUGGGACCCGAAAGAUGGUGAACUAUGCUUGAAUAGGGUGAAGCCAGAGGAAACUCUGGUGGAGGCUCGCAGCGGUUCUGACGUGCAAAUCGAUCGUCAAAUUUGGGCAUAGGGCGAAAGACUAAU